rnacentral:snRNA from 1 species
GGAUGUGAGGGCGAUCUGGCGGUGACAUCUGUCACCCCACUGAUCACCAGGGUUGAUUCAGCCGAUCUGGCUGGCUAGGCGGGUGUCCCCUUCCUCCCUCUCCACUCCAUGUGCAUCCCUCCUGAAGCUGCGCGCUCGGUCGAAGACCACCCCGGAUAGAGGAGGACCGCUUCCUCUGUCAAGGGUAUAGGAGUAGCCGCGCUCCCCUGCUAGAACCUCCAAACAAGCCCUCUAGAGUAGGAAACAUUUUUUGAGAGAAAGAAAGCUUCUGUCUAAGAGAGAAAGAAGGGGGACCAGAAAGUGGGUUGCCCUCAUUUU